GCAGAUGUGGCGGAAUUGGUAUACGCGCAUGAUUCAGGUUCAUGUCCGCAUUACGUGGGUACGGGUUCAAGUCCCGUCAUCUGCA
rnacentral:tRNA from 1 species